rnacentral:rRNA from 1 species
UACAGAGGUCUCAAGCGUUGUUCGGAUUCAUUGGGCGUAAAGGGUGCGUAGGCGGCGCGGUAAGUCGGGUGUGAAAUCUUGGAGCUUAACUCCGAAACUGCAUUCGAUACUGCCGUGCUUGAGGACUGGAGAGGAGACUGGAAUUUACGGUGUAGCGGUGAAAUGCGUAGAUAUCGUAAGGAAGACCAGUGGCGAAGGCGGGGUCUCUGGACAGUUCCUGACGCUGAGACACGAAGGCCCAGGGGGAGCAAAACGGGG